AACUAUGUUGUAAACAAUUAAAUGGUUAUGUAAAAAAAAUAGUUUUUACUUUUUUUUUAGUUGAAAAUUAGUUCUCAGUGGAAAAGUAAAUACUCCAUUUUCAGGAUAGCCGUUUUAAUAAAAGAAAAAAACUUCUGGACAUCUCUCGGUUUACAACAAAUUACAUCUCUUUUGUCUUAUUUAACAUUUGUUUAUCACCUUUUGUUACCUAUUUUAGAAAAUAAUCUCACCUAUUUACGUUUUUUGACGACAAUAGGCAUUAUAAUGAUUGAAAAUUAUUAAAUUUGAAAAGAAAUAUUACAAUUUUUAAUUAAAAAUAUUAUUUUACAAAUUCCCUAUUUUUUCUUAAAGCUUUUCUUCAAAAAUUUUUAAUUUAUUAUCCUUAACAGUUAUUUAAAAUACCUCGUAUAGAAAUUACCUGACUUUUGCAAGAUUUUUUUUUUAAAUCCCUGACUUUCACUGACUAGUAAAAUUCCUUGAUUUGUUUUGUUUGAUAAUUCAGUCAAACUUUAACCAAUUCUGAUGAAUAAAAACGUAUUGCACACAGAAUUGAACUUGUUUUUAAUAUAUUGACAGAAAGAAAUUAGAUUUUUUAAAAUACGAUUAAAUUGUUGUUUAGGCUACAAAAAUUGGAAUGAAUGAAUUUUUUUGAAUUUUUUUUUUCGCUAGACACCCUGGAUCAUAUGAUAUAUAGUUUGUCCUAUUUUCCUGUUAUAUUAUUAAGAUAUUAAAUGUAAGCACUCUUAAAGUAGGAAAGAUUUUUUUGAAAAGAAAUUCGUAAACGAAAUCUGUUUCAGAUAUUUGAAUUAAUUAAUUAAUUUUUCGAGUGACACUUUGGGGAUGAUGUCUCCUUUAUCUUUAAAGGACGUGAAUGAUGUGUAAAAUAUUGUUUAUAUACCGAAUACUCGGUACGUUUAAUGAUGUGGUAGGCCAUUCCACUCUGGUGUUUUGUGCUUUUAAUGUGUAAAGAUUUGCAAUUAAGAUUUUUAACUGUACAAAGAACGCAGUCGCGUUGAUCCUCUUUAUAGCUUUGAGUUUUCUGAUUACCAGGAACUCGGUUGAGAGAAAAGAUAAGCGUUUUAGCUGUUCUCUAUACAAUCUCGCCUUUCAAAGGUUGAUGUCUUGUAAAACGGUACGUACUGAUCGAUUAGCAUAUGAGUUCAUUAUUUUAUAUAACAAAUUCGUGAAUGCGCUCGUUUCUCAUGUCUGUGGAGCGAAACUAAAUCUAUGACCUUGAAAAUCCACAGUUAAGGUGCGCUCAUUCCUGUGGAGCGUACCUCAAAUUAUGGCCUUGAAAAUCGGCAAUUAAGGUGCGCUCAUCUCGGUGGAGCAAACCUGGAAAAUCGGCAAUUAAGGUGUGCUCAUCCCUAUGGAGCAAACCUGGAAUUAUGGCCUUUAAAAUCGGUAAUUAAGGUGCGCUCAUGUUGGUGAAGCCUACCUGAAAUAAUUAUGACCUUAAAAAUCAAUAAUUAAGGGGCGUUCGUUUAUAUGGGGCGAAUCUGAAAUUAUGGCCUUGAAAAUCGGUAAUUAAGGUGCGCCUAUCUCGGUGGAGCAAACCUGGAAAAUCGGCAAUUAAGGUGUGCUCAUCCUUGUGGAGCGAACCUGGAAUUAUGGCCUUUAAAAUCGGUAAUUAAGGUGCGCUCAUGUUGGUGAAGCCUACCUGAAAUUAUGACCUUAAAAAUCGAUAAUUAAGGGGCGUUCGUUUAUAUGGGGCGAACCUGAAAUUAUGGCCUUGAAAAUCGGUAAUUAAGGUGCGCUCAUGUUGGUGGAGCGAACCUGAACCUAUGGUUUUGAAAAGACGCAGUUUAGGUGCGCUCAUGCCUGCGGAGCGAACCUAAACUUAUGACCUUGAAAAGCGUCACUUAAGGUUCGCUUCACAGGUAUGAGAAACACGGCCAUGUCGAUGAAUUUGUUAUAUAAAAUAUCGUAUGAAUCAUGGACAUAAUAUACUAUUUUUGCCACCUUAAAACAUUCCACGCAAGUUUGCUAAAUAAAAGAAGAUGUUCCAUAAUCAUCGUUAAGCACAAAACUAAAAAAGAAAGAGUCACCAAUCGCGAAAAAGCAUCUUGUUCCUUUAGAGUUUGUGUAUUUUGUUAUAUUUUAUUGAAUUUCUUUCUACAUUUAAUUUAUUUAUAUCAUUUCUUUGAUUUUAACAAAUGUGUAAUUUUGUUUUUGUUUAUACUGAACAAUGAAACUCGAAAUUUCCAACUCUUUAGGAACAACUGGAGGAUGAUGACCUUUCUUUAUUCAGUGCGCAUUCUUGACCUAAAAGUUAACAGCUGUUAACAGUGACUAGUGAUAUUUUUAUUAGUAAAUGUAUAUAUUAUAUUAAAUUAAAUGAAUUUUACG